GUAAUAGCUAAGAAGGAGAAAAGUAUGCUAUAGACUGUUUUACAGAGAGAAGUUGCCAGCAGGCUGAAAGCACUUCAAAUAAGUAUAGCAGAAGUUCACUCUGGAGCUGUAGAGCUGAAAAUUACAUUCUAGUAGGCUUUAUCGGAAAGACACCGUUAUUGUCUUAGAGAGGCAUAGUAAGAUUGUGCUAUUAGGGUGGUACCGCGGAUUAAACCUUCGUCCCUUUC
rnacentral:ncRNA from 1 species